rnacentral:lncRNA from 1 species
CAGGGCUGGGCUCAUCUGGGACACCUGGGACUCUCUCACCUGGGUCUUUCAUCCUGGGCUUCUUCCUCUCAUGGUGGCCACAGGUGUUCCGAGGGGAUGAGGUUGGACACUACAAGGCCUGUGAAGGUGUAGGCUCUGAGGCUACAUAACUUCACUUCCACUGCAUUCUCUUGGUCAAAGCAGCAGACAAGGCUGCUCGGACACAAAGAGUGGAGAGACGCCUUCGUUGCUCUUGUCCCAUCUGUGUCCAGUUCAUUCCUACGAAGACAGCCACUCUCUAGGAGAGCCCCGACCAGGAAAGAAGUUAGUUUCAGGUGCAUCCGACUGGGGGAGACACAGAGGAGGCCUCUCAACAAAACAGCAGGAUGCAGCUGGAGAAACUGGUUGUUUUACCAAGGCUUGGACUGGAAAGGGCAUGCUUCCCUUAAAAAAAUCAAGCUUGACUUGCAGAGCCAAUAAAAGCCUGUUGGGAAAACCGGCCUCAUACCUUGUCUACCUAGUCCCUAUACAGGGUUCCUAACCUGUGGUGAGUAAAGAAUGUCACUUCCUAACAGGCCCAGGAGCCCCAUG